rnacentral:rRNA from 1 species
GAUGAACGCUAGCUACAGGCUUAACACAUGCAAGUCGAGGGGCAGCAUGAACUUAGCUUGCUAAGUUUGAUGGCGACCGGCGCACGGGUGAGUAACACGUAUCCAACCUGCCGAUGACUCGGGGAUAGCCUUUCGAAAGAAAGAUUAAUACCCGAUGGCAUAGUUCUUCCGCAUGGUAGAACUAUUAAAGAAUUUCGGUCAUCGAUGGGGAUGCGUUCCAUUAGGUUGUUGGCGGGGUAACGGCCCACCAAGCCUUCGAUGGAUAGGGGUUCUGAGAGGAAGGUCCCCCACAUUGGAACUGAGACACGGUCCAAACUCCUACGGGAGGCAGCAGUGAGGAAUAUUGGUCAAUGGACGAGAGUCUGAACCAGCCAAGUAGCGUGAAGGAUGAAGGUCCUACGGAUUGUAAACUUCUUUUAUAAGGGAAUAAACCCUCCCACGUGUGGGAGCUUGUAUGUACCUUAUGAAUAAGCAUCGGCUAACUCCGUG